rnacentral:rRNA from 1 species
UGGCUCAACUGGGAGAGGACGUUCUAAACUGCCAAGCUUGAGGAUGGUAGAGGGAGGUGGAAUUCCGGGUGUAGCGGUGGAAUACGCAGAUAUCCGGAGGAACACCAGCGGCGAAGGCAGCCUCCUGGACCACUCCUGACACUCAGACGCGAAAGCUAGGGUAGCAAACGGGAUUAGAGACCCCGGUAGUCCUAGCCCUAAACGAUGUAGACUUGGCGUCGGUGGUUUAAUCGCCAACGGUGUCGUAGCUAACGCACUAAGUCUACCGCCUGGGGACUACGGCCGCAAGGUUAAAACUAGAAGGAAUUGACGGGUCCCCGCACAAGCAGCGGAGCGUGUGGUUUAAUUCGAUGCUACACGAAGAACCUUACCUGGGUUUGACAUAGAGGUAGUAGGGAAGCGAAAGCGGACCGACCCUUCGGGGAGCCUCUACAGGUGUCGCAUGGCUGUCGUCAGCUCGUGUCGUGAGAUGUUCGGUUAAGUCCGCUAACGAGCGCAACCCUCGCUGUGUGUUACAAGUGUCACACGGUACUGCCGAUAUUAAGUCGGAGGAAGGUGGGGAUGACGUCAAGUCAGCAUGACCUUUAUAUCCAGGGCUACACACACGCUAUAAUGGCCAGUACAAUGGGUUGCCAAGCCGCGAGGCGGAGCCAAUCCUAAAAAGCUGGCCUCAGUUCAGAUUGCAGUCUGCAACUCGACUGCAUGAAGUUGGAGUUGCUAGUAACCGCAGGUCAGCAAUACUGCGGUGUAUACGUUCCCGGGGUAUAUGUACUACACACGCCC